AGCGGCCCUUACAAACCCAACAAUACGUGAAGGGGUCUUCACCAUUGGAACAAGUGCCCUAUGACCUUUACGGGUUUACCACUCCCAUGAGUGUAAUUAUAAAAAACCAUUGGAAACAUUUUGGAAGGCGGGAUCUUCCCAUUGAAUAACCAACAAAUCGGACAAUAUAUAGGCACUAACAGUAUUUCCACGUGACAGUGACAAGACGAAUAUUUGGAUGUUGAUUCCCACAAGCAACUGCAGUGACAAGACAUCACUGAACCAAAAUCACAAGUCACUGAAUGUAGUCAUUGGCAGGAGAGUAUCCUGUAAGUAAACUGCAAGUGACGGAGAGUAACAGGUGCAGUGAUCAGAGGCUGGACGAGCAGUGGCAAGUUUUUCAUAAAAGAUAACAUUGUAUAUAAUACUUUGUGCAAAACAGUAUACAGUAUUGUAUGCAUUGUUGCACUGAUGCUCCACCAAGUUGAUCAGACGUCCAGCAGAGAAGAUGAGUGAGGUCCACCAGUAUACGUUUGUAAAAAACAACCUUAGUUCAGAGCAACGACAACUUUUUGAUUUGGUGAGAGCUGCUGGCAUCAUCAUACAUCCUCAGCUAUUCAAGACUAUAAUGGAUCUUCUGGCCCAAAACAUCCCACCGCAUGCACUCAUCAAUCUACUGCGGGAGUUAAGAUGCAAGAUACCAUGUGAAGAUGAUGUGAUUAACGAAAACAUCUUGCAAGAGAAAGCCCAGUAAUAUUAAAUGAUAAAACGUGUAUGUACUCAACUUUACAUUUCUUAGACAGAAUAAUGUAUGGAUAGCAAAUUACUGGAUGUGUAGGUAAGAUUUAAAUCUUGUAAGAAAAACCAUUAGGUUAGUGAUGAUUGUUUAUAAUGAAUUUACUAGUGCAAAUAUAAAACUGUGAUGACAAAUAUCUUUAAGAAUUUAAAUAAAUAAAAAAAAAAAAAGGUUGCUAAAAAUGGUAGUGCAGGAGUAUACCCAAAUUGUGGUGUUUUUUCAUGAUU